rnacentral:rRNA from 1 species
CACGUAGUUAGCCGUGGCUUUCUGGUUAGGUACCGUCAAGGUACGAGCAGUUACUCUCGUACUUGUUCUUCCCUAACAACAGAGUUUUACGAUCCGAAAACCUUCAUCACUCGCGCGGCGUUGCUCCGUCAGACUUUCGUCCAUUGCGGAAGAUUCCCUACUGCUGCCUCCCGUAGGAGUCUGGGCCGUGUCUCAGUCCCAGUGUGGCCGAUCACCCUCUCAGGUCGGCUACGCAUCGUGGCCUUGGUGAGCCGUUACCUCACCAACUAGCUAAUGCGCCGCGGGCCCAUCUAUAAGUGACAGCGUAAACCGUCUUUUAGCUUUUCUACAUGUGUAGAAAGCAUUAUCCGGUAUUAGCUCCGGUUUCCCGAAGUUAUUCCAGUUCUUAUAGGCAGGUUCGCCCUACGUGUUACUCACCCGUCCGCCGCUAACCUUCGGGAGCAAACUCCCAAAGAUUCGCUCGACUUGCAUGUAUUAGGCACGCCGCCAGCGUUCGUCUGACGUCCACGGA